UGCGAUUUCAGACCGAAUAUUCAAUAUCGCGUGAAAAACAACAAAGGGACCGUGUCAAAAGUUCUCAGGUUGUUGAAAAACGAACAAAAGGAAUUCAGCCAACUACUAUAACGGUUUUGAAAUCAUGGCCUGUGCACAUCAACAUCUGUGGACCCUGCAGAACAUGCAUGCAACCUGUGCCCUGCUGUUUUCCUUACCUCUGUCUUACCCAUUGUCUUAACUAAAUAUUGUAACACUGUCAUUUCUGUUUUUUCUGUUUAUGACAUGUUGUUGUACAUUAAACUAUCAUUAUAUCAUAAA